CCGGAUUUAGACGUUAAAUUUUAGGAGAAGGACCCCCCAAUGUCCUUGUCAGCGGUUCUCAACCAUUUUUUCUGCCUCAACCCCAUCGGCAUCCACAAAGUAUAUGCACUAUCAUCAACAGUCUCUCUCAUGAAAUGAUUUGUAGUGGUGCAACGGCAUAGCAGAGACUGCAAGUUGUCUCUCAAAAGCCUCCCUUGCUGCGUCAUUCCCGCCCUCCCUUCCUUCCGUCCUCAGUAACAGAACACUCAGUGUUUAGCUGGGAAAUGGCUGUCCAAAAUGAAGACUAUAUUUUCCAGGCUUUCCUGCAGAAAGGCAUAAUGGGUGACUAAGUUCUGCACGAUGGGAUGUUAGUGUCCUUAAAAGUAGGAGCCAUUUCCUUCUUUCCUUUACAUUGACUGGAACAGAAUGUGAACAUAAUAAUGGUGCUCCAGCAGCCAUUUUUGACCAUAAGUGAACUUCCGAUGGGAUCCAUGCAUGGAUGGAGCGAAAAGAUAAAGACAGCCUGCAACACUAACACUGACCAGCCUUGCCCUGACCACCUCCAGGCUUCUUGACAAGAGGGAAAUAAACUUCUAUUUUGUUC
rnacentral:lncRNA from 1 species